CCUACGGGUGGCUGCAGUGAGGAAUAUUGGUCAAUGGCCGGAAGGCUGAACCAGCCAUGCCGCGUGAAGGAAGAAGGCGCCAGGCGUCGUAAACUUCUUUUGUCGGGGAACAAAGGGCGCCACGCGUGGCGUUGUGAGUGUACCCGAAGAAAAAGCAUCGGCUAACUCCGUGCCAGCAGCCGCGGUAAUACGGAGGAUGCGAGCGUUAUCCGGAUUUAUUGGGUUUAAAGGGUGCGUAGGCGGUCCGGAAAGUCAGCGGUAAAAGCCCGGGGCUCAACCCCGGCGAGCCGUUGAAACUGUCGGACUAGAGACGGCGAGAAGUACGCGGAAUGCGCGGUGUAGCGGUGAAAUGCAUAGAUAUCGCGCAGAACUCCGAUUGCGAAGGCAUCUCACGAAUCCGCGAUUGACGCUGAUGCACGAAAGCGUGGGUAUCAAACAGGAUUAGAUACCCGUGUAGUC
rnacentral:rRNA from 1 species